rnacentral:lncRNA from 1 species
ACAUUCUACUAAAGAAGAGGGGGACUUUCCUUGCAAUAUGGAGUAGGUGGACCUUUAUAUUACAACCUUUGACCCAUUUUACAAUUGAAAAUACACACAAACACAUACUAGAGCCGGCUGAGAGGAAGAAAAACCGAGAAGAAUCGAGAAAGAGGUGGAGAAAAGAAAAAAGAAGAAAGAAAAAAGAAAAAAGAAAAGGAAGAAGAAGAAGAAGGAAGAGGAAGAAAAAAUGAUGGCAAUACCAACAUGGUCCUUAAAAUUCUUCCUUAAUUUCUUCAGGUUAGUAAAAGAUGUAUUUAUGGAAAAUAAUUCUUGAAUUUAAGGUUUGUAAACAAUUACUUAUGUUUAAAGUUUGACAAUAAUUAAAGAUUAUGAAUAUGUAUUUGAGGUUAUAACUAAACUAUGGC